AACACUGUUAACCUGCGGUACCUGCGGAGGGAUCAUUAUGGUAUAUGGAAUCUCCAUUCUAUAAACCCACUCUGCGUAUCUUGUAACUGUUGCUUCCAUGGGACUUGGUUCCGCCACACCGGCUUCACGGCUGGUGAGCGCCCAUGGAAGGAGAAACAAAACUCUUCUUUGAAAUGUAGUCAGUCUGAACAAGUUUUUAUAAACGUUAAAACUUUUAACAACGGAUCUCAGAUCGGAAGA
rnacentral:misc_RNA from 1 species